AUUCCGAUCCGCUGCCCCUGAGAGGUGGGCCUUGGGAGAGGCAGGGCUUGGACGCCCUUCCUCGGGGCAGCGGGGUGCAGGGAGAGUUCUUCUGGCUGUGAGUCCCGGAGUCCCCGACCCUGGCACCCCUUCAGCAAGGUUCUCAGGCACAUCUGCCGGGGGCGCUGAGGGGACCUGAGAUGGACGGGCCGGGAGGGAGGCUGAGGUAAGACCUGAGGCUGAGGUAAGACCUCAGCCUGAGGUAAGACACAGUGCUGGGGCCUCCCUUGAAGCCCGUUUGAAGUGAGGUCCCCACAGCUGUCAGAGGACACGCAGGGUGGGGGCUCCUGGGUGGGAAACAGGUAAACCUCUUGGGCGCCUGGGGCUGGAGGCCUGAGUGGUCCUGAAAAGAACAUUCAGGCCAGGCGCAGUGGCUCACACCUGUAAUCCCAGCACUUUCGGGGGCUGAGGCGGGUGGAUCACAAGGUCAAGAGAUCGAGACCAUCCUGGCCAACAUGGUGAAACCCCGUCUCUACUAAAGACACAAAAGCUAGCUGCAUGUGGUGGCGCACGCCUGUAGUCCCAGCUCCUCUUAGGGAGGCUGAGGCAGGAGAAUCACUUGGACCCAGGAGGCGGAGGUUGCAGUGAGCUGAGAUUGCGCCACUGCACUCCAGCCUGGCGACACAGCGAGACUCUGUCUCAAAAAUAAAUAAAUAAAUAAAUAAAAAGAAAAGAAAAGAACAUUUAGUGAAAGGAGCAAGGAAGAGAAGGCAUUCUGGGCAGACCCCGGCCCCCAGGGCACAGGCGUGCAGUGUUUCCCUUCCAGGGUUUGGUGGACACUUGGAGGGACCAGGUCGGGGUGUGGCCUGGGAGGGGUGGCCAAGGUCCAGGGGUCAGGGUCACUUCGGGGAAGUCCAAGGGGCAGCGCGGAGCCACCGCUGUGGACAUGGGAGGAGCCUACUAGCCAGCAUGGCCCAAAGGAAGGAGGGGCUGAGGGUCAGAGGUCAUGGGAGAGAAGAGGGAGUGGGGCAGACCCUCUCCCAAGGCCAUGGGGUGGGGGAGAAACAGCGCCUUAGGGCCUGUCCUGAUCCUCCUCCAGAGCCUGCUCAGAGUGGGAGCAGCCCCUCCUCCCUUCCCCUCCACCACCCAGGCGCAGGUGCGGCCUCUCCCUGGCCCGGGGACCUGCGUGAGGUCAGCCCUCAAAGCGCUGUCCCUUCUGGCUCACCUGGGCCCAGGGUGAGGCCCGACCCCACGGUGGACCCUGAGUCACUGCAGCUUCUGUGCCCAGCUCAGGAACAGAGCAGCCUUCAAGGCCAGGACUGGGGAGGGGCUCGGCUUUUCCGGCCCUUGGACGCCACUCAACUCUUCCUGCCCGUGUGUUGGCAAAGAACUAGCACGGCCUCUGAAGCACUGAAAAGACAAGGGCUACCUCUUUUCCAGAAGGUCCCAGAGCCCACCAUGAGCAGGCAGUGUUUGGGAAAAGCCCGGGGAGGUGGCAGGGGCUCCGAGGAGCGGGGGAUUCUAAGGGGUUAUAGCUGCGCUGAGCCCCGGGCUCCUCAGAAGCCUCAGAAGGAGAAGGGGGCUCCUUUGGGGGCAUCCUCCCUGCAUCCGGGGUGUUGCAGGGUGACCUCCCGUAGUGCCAGCAGGGGCGGCCCCUCGGUCUGGCCAGAGAAGCCCAGCCACUGUCCCGUAUGGUGGAUGUCAGGCCCAGUGCCGUGUUUCCGAAGGAGGGAAGGGGUGAGAGGCAGCAGCCAGACACCCCGCUGAGCCCGCCCCGACCCUGAGCACGUGGGAGCUGGAGACGGUGUCACACACUCGGCCUGGCUUUGGGACCAUCCCUAGGGCUUCUGUGGGGAGGAGGAAGGAGGAGCAGACGUGGAAGGGCUGCCAGGGCCCCAGCAGAUGGGGUCGGGGGCGGAGGAGAGCCAGGAAAGUGUGGGCGCCUGGGGGAGUCACAGAUGGAGGUCUGGUACCUAGAGCCUGGAGAACGACGGCUCUCGGGACAGAGGGCCUCAGACUCUGGCACACCAGCCGUACCUAUGACAAGCUCCAUGGGGGAAGAACCAGGCACCUGGAUGCAUGGCUGUGAGGCCCCCACCCCACAGGGGCCUCAGAGGCACAGGCUCCAGGCUCCAGCGGGGAGGGCGCUGCAUCCCACCCUGGGAGCAUGGCUAUGAGGCCCCCACCCCACAGGGGACCCAGAGGCACAGGCUCCAGGCUCCAGCGGGAAGGGCCCUGCUCCCCACCCCCAUCCCCCGCCUCAGGCUUCACUGAGAUGGGCCCCGGGGACCCCGGGAGCUUUCUGUGACUGCUCGGCAAUGGGUUCCCCAAGGCCUGGCACAGGCUUUCCUUAGAGCCAGGCUGUGGACCCAAAGCCUUGGGCCAAGUCUCAGGACCAGAUGGGCGGCUCUGGAGAGGACCCCACAGUCCAGGGUGAGGCGCGCCCCGCUGGGGGCAGCGCUGCCUGUGGAGAGGACCCCACAGUCCAGGGUGAGGCGCGCCCCGCUGGGGGCAGCACUGCCCGUGGCCGUCUCCAUCCAUCUCACCCUGACGCAAGGCCGGCUUCCUCUGCGUCCAGUGGUCGGGGCCUUGGAGAGGCCAGCAGGGCCCGUGGGGGUCGCGUUUCUUCCCUGUGGCAUCAGCUCUUUUCCCAGCAGGCCUCUUUGCAGCUGGAUGCAGCAGCCAAGCCCUGGAGUCUUUGGAAAACUGUGGCCUGGCGGGGGCCCAGGCAAUGCCACCUUACAGGGGACACCCACACAGGCGGUCCCGAGGAGGGGUGUGCUGCCGCCCUGAGCUCAGCCAGGCAUCACCGUGGUGUCACCGUCAGCUCGGGUGGCACCUCCCGGGCUGCCCUCUCGGCUGCCACUUCUCAUGAAACUGACAGGGACUGAACACGAAUGAUGUGGCUUAUAGCUGGGUGCCCCCACCCUGACCACAGGUGCCACGCGACGGGAGCCACAUUCUCUUCCUGAUUCUAACUCCACGGGUACAGAGACAGAAGCUGCCAUCUUUAGAAAUAAAACUUUUUUCUAACUACAAAAUAAUACAGUUUAAUAUAGGAAAUGUGGAAAAUGGGGUAUUCGGGGUGGAUAUUGAGAAGAGAGAAGCAACACCAAUUCUAUGUGCGAGACGCUGGCACUUCCCAGCGUAGCCUUGUGUUCCUGACCCUGGGGUGGCCUGAGCGUGGCCUGUGGGGCCCGUGUCCAGGUGCGGAGGGGGCCCUGAGUCGUGCGGGGCAAGUGGUCAGGGCCCCAGGCCCAGGCUGCCUGGAGCGAGAUGACUGGGCCUGGCCCCUGGGGACUUGCUCUGACAAAACCCCCCGGUCCCCACUCCUGAGCCCCUGCAGGAGCAGCCCUGGGAACAUGGGGAGCAGCUCCUUCUGCCUAUGUGCUCCGGACUCAGGAACUCUGGAGAGAAGAAACACAACCCCACAGGCCCCGCCUGCCUCUCCUGCAGUCUUGAGGCCCCAGGGAAAGCCCCCACUGCAGGCAGGGGGUGGGUGCCCGAGCGAGGGUGUGGGGUGAGCAGGGUCCUGGGCAUGUCAGGGCUGCGUGGGACUCCAGCGGGCCGGGUGCCUCUCGCCCUGCAGGACGUGGCUGGCCUGGUCUGCCCCCAGCUGAGCCUCACCUGAGGGAGAGCUGGGGUGGGCCGCCUCGUUUACGACCGUGUAGUCGUCUUUUGCACACAAAGCCAUGUGAGUCCGUACGUGAGUCCUGUGGAAAGACAAGACAUGGAAUAGGAGUGACGUCCGUCCCCAGGCAUGAAGUGGAGAGCAUCACGCUGUGCCUGAGCUCCGGAUAUUUCUCCUGUUCUGGAGACAGUGAGAAGUGAAAGAGAAAUGGCUGCCCCUGCACCACUUACCGCGAAGGAGGCUCAAGGCUGGGGGGCCCCUCUGCCUUCCAGUGACCGCCCGUGUCACAUCCUGACCCGCUCAGCAGGAGAGACGGCCAGAGGCAUGGAUGCACGCUGACUCGUGGACGGCCGCUGUUUGACGAGACCAUCAAGGAGGGAGGAGCACCCGUGGAAAGGCGUGGCAGGGUGGUCGGGGCAGAGGUGUACAUCAGCCUAUCCAAUGCUCACGGCUGGAGGACGCCGCGCCCUGUGAAUGCUCACUGAGGACCAUCCCGGGCACUGGGGCUCUCCAUGUGAGAAUGGACAAUAUGCUGCCUUCCCAGCUGCCCCAUCCUUCCUGCGAGAGCUUGGGGAUGGGUGGCCACAGUGGCACUGGGGAGAACACGAGGGCUCCCCAGCAAGCGUUUUCUCUCAUGGAGGUGGCUCUGGUCACAGCGUCACUGCAGGGCGCAGCCACGGUGGCGGCCAAUGGAAACUGGGCUCUUCUUUUUCUUUUUUUUUUUGAGACAGAGUCUCGCUCUGUCACCCAGGCUGGAGUACAAUGGCAGGAUCUCGGCUCACUGCAACAUCCACCUCCCGGGUUCAAGUGAUUCUCCUGCCUCAGCCUCCUGAGUAGCUGGGAUUACAGGUGCCAGCCACCACGCCCGGCUAAUUUUUGUAUUUUUAGUAGAGACAGGGUUUCACCAUGUUGGUCAGGCUGUCUCGAACUCCUGACCUCGUGAUCUGCCCGCCUUGGCCUUCUCAAAGUGCUGGGAUUACAGACAUGAGCCACCGCGCCCGGCCAAAACUGGGCUUUUCUACGGUGGGGAGAGCAGAGCUAUUCUCUCUGGGGUGGGUGCUUGUCUGGGACUUGUCACCAUCCCUUACUCCAGGGCUGUCUUCAGCACUGUCGCCCACAGUCUUUCCGAACGCCUUAUUCAGAUGUUAUAAUUUCCCACACGAUGUUCCUGACCAAGAAACGCAUUUUACAGCAAAGGGGUGAGGAACGGAUCUGUGGCCAUAGGAUCCCAGAGCCGUGUCCCCGCCACUCAGGAGCAGGCGACCUGAGCAGAAGGGCUUGGCGCUGGUGGGCAGUGGGAGCCCUGCCAUGGGCGGCCCGAGGGGUGGUGGGAUCCCCGCCGUGGGCAACCCCGGGGGCGGUGGGAGCCACGCUGUGGGUGGGCUGGAGGCCCUACUGGGUGUGCUACCGGAAGGGAGGUCCUGACUGUGAGUCCAUGUUCCUGGCAUGUUGAACAAAGAAUUGAGCAAAACUCACAAAACGACAAAUAACAGAGUAAUGAAAGCGCAGAUCCUUUGCAGUGAACAUGCACUCCACAAGGGGGGACGGGACUCCAGCAAGUGCUCCGGAGCCCCCAUUAGGGUUUGUAUUGGGCUAAAAGAAUUUGGUAACACCCCCAGGUGCCCUUUCCAGGUCUCUGAUUGGCUGCAUCCUAUGAAGACUGGCCUGCGGCCAAUCAGAGGCUGAGGUGGAGACUCCUGUCUUGUUUUCCCAGGAAGGAGGCUGCGGCCUGUGUGCCGCCCAAUCCAGCCAGGAACCGGUGGCACCUGCUGCCCUCCGGCUUCUGCCUUAGCCCUCGGUGACCCCAUUCCCUGUUCUCCUGCCUCAGGUGCAGGGCGAUGGUUCUCAGUCAACGCUGGGGCCAGAGCCGGGGCUGGGGCCGCUCGUUCUGCACAGGUCCCGGGAGUGGCGGUGAGCAAUGCUCUCGCUCUCAGCGACCCACGUGCAAAGCGCUCCCUGCGCCCCCGACCCCGCAGCUUUGGGCUCUGCUGACUUCAAGGCUUCAUUCUUCCUCCAGGAGAACACAGCAGGUCCCUCCGACCGCAGUCGGCCUCUCCAGCCUGCCAUGCCUCUGGCCAUGAGGCGACCCGCUGGAGUGAUGGAUUCCCGUCACUACCACCCACAGGGCGAGGGGGUGCAUUGGUCUGCUUGGGCCGCUGUAACAAAAUGCCACAGCCUGGAUGAGUGACUGACAUUGCUUCCCCACCGUUCUGGAGGCUGGAGGCCCGAGAUCGAGGUCCCUGACACUAUUUCAGUGAUGCCAGAGCCCAGGAGGAGUCGACCAAGCCCCAGCGUGGCCAUAAGCACCUUCGCAGGACCACGGAGUCGCUGCAGGUGUUCAGCCCUGUUGAGAGUGGGAGUCGGUGUCGAUGGUCACAGCUCAGUAACUCAUCGUCACCAGCGAGUACCACAGAGCAGACACAACUGCACUUCUCUGUAGAGCCUCCAGUCGAUACUGAGAGCCACUGGGGCGUCUGACACCCAAGGGUGCAGACAUUCACUCCAAGUCCAGAGACCGCGCCCUUUCUAAGGCCCUGUCUCACAGUCGCCCCGUGCUCAUUGUGCCGGAUGUUUCCACAGCCACAGAGACGGUGAGGUGCAGCCUAGUGCAUAUGACUGACAGAAACGUGAAGCCACAGUGGACGCCUGGAUGAGACACAGAUCACCUUCCAAAUCUGAGUGUGGCCUUGGGACCAACCAGGCAGCCAGGGAGAAGGCAGAGACCAGAGGGAACCCAGGUGCCCUCAAUCCCAGCCUCCUCUAUCCCAGCCUCCCAAUCCCAGCCUCCCCAAUCCCAGCCUCCUAAUCCCAGCCUCCUCCAUCCCAGGACCCCCACUCCCAGCCUCCCGAUCCCAGCUUCUCUGAUCCCAGCCUCCCCUAAAACCCAGACUCUAUGAAUCCCAGCCUCUGAGGUGGGAACUGUUAGUAACCCCACUCCAUGGACAAGAAAGCUGGGGCCUGGCGAGGCUAACAGACUAUCCUGAUGGUGUGAGGGAGGGAUCGGCCUCUGAGGGCUGCUUCCACCCAUCUCACCAGUGGCUGCAGGCUCCAGGCGCCACUUUCCUUGAGUCUAUGUUCUUUCCAAGCAUCCUGCAGCUCCAGAAGCUCUGGAGCCGCCAGCACUGAGAGAAGCGAUGGAGCUGCAUGCAGGGAAACUUUGUUGACAGCGGUGUCUGGAUGGACCAGCAGAGGGCACUCUCACCCACGGGGAAAAUCGUGCGCCCGGCCUCGUCCACCGCCAGAAGACGCCGCUACACAAUGGAGUCUCGCUCUGUCGACCAGGCUGGAGUGCAAUGGUGCGAUCUCGGCUCACUGCAAUCUCUGCCUCCCGGUGAGAGGUGAAGCCAGCUGGACUUCCUGGGUCUAGUGGGGACUUGGAGAACUUUUCUGUCUAGCUAAAGAUUUGUAAAUGCACCAAUCAGUGCUGUGUCUAGCUAAAGUUUGUAAACGUACCAAUCAGCACUCUGUAAAAAUGGGCCAAUCAGCACUCUGUAAAAUGGACCAAUCAGCACUCUGUAAAAUGGACCAGUCAGCAGGAUGUGGGCGGGGUCAAAUAAAGGAAUAAAAAGCUGGUAGCCGAGCCGGCAGUGGCAAACCGUUUGGGUCCUUCUCGGUACCCUGGUGGCUUUGUUGUUUUGCUCUUUGCAAUAGAUCUUGUUGCCGCUUGCUCUUUGGGGCCUCACUGCCUUUAUGAGCUAUAACACUCCCCGCAGAGGUCUGCAGCUUCAUUCUUGAAGCCAGCGAGACCACGAACCCACUGGGAGGAACCAACAACUCCAAACGCGCCACCUGUAAGAGCUGUAACACUCCCUGUGAAGGUCUGUGGCUUCACUCCUGAAGUCAGCGAGACCAGGAACCCACCGGAAGGAACUCCGGACACAAAGAACUGCAACACUCACCCGAGGGUCUGUGGCUUCAUUCUUGAAGUCAGUGAGAUUAAGAACCCACCGGAAGGAACCAGUUCCGGACGUGCCGAGUUCAAGCAAUUGUCCUGCCUCAGUCUCCGGAGUAACUGGGAUUACAGGUGCACGCUGCCAUGCCCAGCUAAUUUGUAUUUUAGUAGAGUCGAGGUUUCACCGCGUUGCCCAGGCUGGUCUCGAAUUCCUGAGCUUGGGCAACCCACUCACCUCGGCCUCCCAAAGUGCUAGGAUUACAGGCGUGAGCCACCAGGCCGGGCCCGUAUGGUGGUUUCUACUCCGGACUGACUCUCCCGGGUCUUGGUCACUCUGCAGAAUCCUGGACCGGAAGGGGGCCUCGGCCAGGGGAGGGCUUGCGAGGAGCCCCGGACCUACUGGCCAUUAUAGGGUGACGGGAAGUUCCUUGCAUCCCGGGAUCCCAUGGCACUUGGUCAGGGAAGCCUCCCCAGAGAGGCCCAACUCCCCAGAUCCAGGUGGGGAAUCAGGGUACCAGCCAGGCAGUGUUCCCACCCCAGCCAUGCUGCUGGCUUCCGUCCCUGUGGUGGGGUCACCCAGGUGGCUCAUGCCUCCACGCACAGCCUUGUGGACACCCCCACACCGCCCAUAGUCAAGUCAGAGCUCACGAGCCCACAGGGCAGAUACCCGCCACGAGGGGACGGUGGGCCAGGAGGGUCCUCUGUGGGCAGCGCCGUGUUCCUGAUCUCCCCAGGCUGCUGGGGGAUGGGGUGGGGCAGAGGAGGCCACCUUCCCAUUUCCCACUUUGCUGGGUCUCCCUCUUUGCUGGACAGUGCUGGGGCAGGUUACACACCCAUGACAGUGUGAGGACUGAGGGUGCGCGUCCUGGAGCCUUCAGGGCUUGGGUGGAGGGGGCAGCUUGUCCCCCUGAGGCCUGGGCCAGAGAUCCCAUUCUGAAUGCGGAGAGCCAAGAUUCUACCUGGAUCCUGGCCUUGUGGGUCACUGUGACGGCCCAGAGCUGACUUUAUGUGACAGUUUGUCCUGAGAUUUAAAACUGAAUAUUUAGACUCGUGGGAUCUGGGCAUCCACUUCAACCAAGGAUGGGGACAGGCAGCAGGGUGGAGGGUGGACGAUGCAGGAAGAUGCUGUAGGACCAAGAACAAGGGGGCUGUGAGGCAAAGGAGCAGCACGAGGAGCCGUGUGUGCCCACUGCCACUUGCAGCCUCAUUUCUCAACCCGACUGUGAUGACUGCCGCUUGCUGGAAAGAUGCUCUGAAGACACAAUGAACUGACAAUGCGUCACCCCGACUCCUGCCUGAGCCACUCCAUUCCUUAAAGACGGUACGUGACUCACGUCCUUGCUGUGUCCUGCACGAGAUAAGGUCUGGCAGGGUUGGUAAUUAUGCCUCUGGGAUCUGUAACCAGACAUUCUCUGUAACCAUUCUGUAUAAUCUGGACGUUCUCUGUAAUCCAGAUGUUCUGUGUAAACUGAAGUUCUCUGUAAUUGGACUUUCUCUAUAACCAGUUGUCCUCUGUAACCUUCUCUAUAAUCCAGAUGUUCUUUGCAACCAGAUAUUCUCUCUAACCAGACAUUCUGUAUAAUCCAGACAUUCUCUGUAACCAGAUGUUUUCUAUAAUCCAGAUUUUUUUUUUUUUUUGAGACAGUUGCACUCUUUUUGCCCAGGCUGGAGUGCAAUGGUGAGAUCUUGGCUCCCUGCAACCUCCACCUCCCAGGUUCAAGCGAUUCUCCUGCUUCAACCUCCCUAGUAGCUGAGAUUACAGGCAUGCACCACCAUGCUUAGCUAAUUUUGUAUUUUUAGUAGAGACGGGGUUUCUUCAUGUUGGUCAGACUGCUCUCAAACUCCUGACCUCAGGUGAUCCGCCCACCUCGGCCUCCCAAAGUGCUGGGAUGACAGACGUGAGCCACCGCACCCGGCCCUGGAUGUUCUUUUUAAUCCAGAUAUUCUCUGUAAUCCAGACGUUCUCUACAACCAGACAUUCUCUGUAAUCGGACAUUCAGUACAAUCCAGGCUUUCUCCGUAACCAGACGUUCUCUAUAAUCCAGACGUUCUCUGUAACCCACACGCAGCUCCGUGUGACUCUGCUCUUCCGUGACUUCUGCGUCUAUAAUCCAGACGUUCUCUGUAACCCACGUGCAGCUCCGUGUGACCCUGCUCUUCCGUGACUUCUGCGUCUAUAAUCCAGACGUUCUCUGUAACCCAC
rnacentral:lncRNA from 1 species